AGGUUUUCUAAAAUGUUUUUAAGUAUUUUAUGGUUUUAAAUAGAAAAGAGUUGAGUUUUUGAAGAGAAAAGACCAAGGAGGCGUUUGCCAGGUUCGGCCGCCGAAAGUGAAGUUCGGCCGCCGAACAUGUGAAGGCUUCGGGAGCGCCUUUGGCCUCCGAAAGUCUUGUGGGAGCAAGCCAAGGUUCGGCCGCCGAAAGUGAGGUUCGGCCGCCGAACAUGCAUGAGUUUAGGGGGCACGUUAGGCUGCCGAAGGUUGAUGACCAGGCCACCUAUAUAAGGCCCUCAGAUCGGAAAUGGGCGAGUUUUCUCCCCAUUCUCGAACUCAGGUGAGUUUCUGCCCUCCCUUGGUUGCUUGUGUGUCUUCUCUUCAAAAUCCUUCAAGUUUUCAUAAGAUCUACCCUUGGUUUGAAGUUUUGAAGCUAAAGUAGAAGUUUUGGGAGCUUGGAGCUUUUGGAGCUUGGAUUCUCCACACCUCCGAGUUAGGGAUCGCACAAACCCUCGAUCUUCAAGAGGUAAGUGUAGAUCUUUGUUUCCCUUGAGUUUUCAUGAAGUUUUAAGUAAGUUUUAUGAAGG
rnacentral:lncRNA from 1 species